AACACUGUUAACCUGCGGUACCUGCGGAGGGAUCAUUACAGAGUUCGUGCCCUCGCGGGUAGAUCUCCCACCCUUGUGUAUUCUCUACAUCUUGUUGCUUUGGCAGGCCGUUGGUUCGCCAACCACCGGCUCGCGGGCUGGUGCGUGCCUGCCAGAGGACCUCUCAAACUCGGUUUGUUAGUGUCGUCUGAGUACCAUAACAAUCGUUAAAACUUUCAACAACGGAUCUCAGAUCGGAAG
rnacentral:misc_RNA from 1 species